ensembl:lncRNA
UCUCCUCCUCUCUCCUCACUCUUCUGCAGCCCGUGCUCUCUGCACGUGUCUUGGAGUUGAAAGCGUUAGAUUAGAUUAUCGAUUUAACUGGCUUAAUAACAUGAACAGCAAAUAUUGCCGAAUUAAUGCCCGUGAGUCCGAAUUACUAAUUGCACAGCACGAAUUACAAAACUAGGCUGUAAGAACGAGAUGAUGACUCAUUUAAACUUGAAUUGUACAAUUACUUUGUUGCCUAGACGAAAACAAUAAUAAUAAUUAAAUUUAGUUUGGGAUCAAAAAAAUUAUAAAAAUGCUUUUUUUUUCUGUGUGGAAUAUAUCAUAUACAGUUUUCGUGUCCAUAUGACAUUGUCUCAAAAGGUUCCCGUUGCACAGGCAACACUUCAAUUGAAUGGUUUACAAUACAAUGCAGACACAGGUCUAUUGUUUUCACUUCAUGGCAAAAGGCCACAAGCUACUGCUGUUUCCACUCAGAGUUUAUUCAACAAUCAGCUACAAUAAAAUUAACACUCUCUAAUGGUUAUUAUACUAGCCUAUGUGAGUAUUUAGUAGCGUUUAUAGGUUUACAUUAUUUUUCACAUAUAUAGGGUUAUUUAAGAAUUAUGUCUGCAGUCUACUAGACCUUUUAAAGGGAACUAUAAAACAUUACACUAUUCAGACAAAUGUUAUGAAGGUGAAUAAUGCUUUGAUUAGUUCCUGUGGAACCUUGUGGUAACUUUAAUGUUUGAUUUUUUAAAACAUGCAUCGAAUCAGUAUUUAUUUAAUUGUACAUGUUAAUGUAAAAAAACAAACAUUAAUGUGUUAAUGUAUGAUGUAUAUGUAUUAAAUAAAGUCAAAUGCUUUUACUUAAAAAUAUAUCAUAAGUAGCAAUAUUUUAACCAGCAUGACAAUGAUAUAAAAAAAGAUAAUUAAGUAAUGUUAACUGGAUGUAUAUACAUAAAUCUGCAAGAACAUAAAAGUAGUCAUCCCAAUGUGGUCGGUGUCAUCAUCAAAAAGUAAACUGUUACGUUAAGAUUAGCAUAUUUCCAGGUUCAUAGCAUCAUCAACAUGGCAUCCUUUUGGUUGUCAAUAGGACCACUGUCCAUCAUCGUCAGUUGACGGACAGACUUGAACCAAAAGAAAUCGCUCAAUUUCCCAGGAUGCGGUCUCCAUGGCUGAAGAGAAACAACACACAACCUGACGGGCAAGAGACAAUCAUACUCAGGAACGGCCCCUUCCCCAUCACCGCUGGCCGUGUCAAGCUUGGAAAUGGAUCCCGGCCGCCUCUGAAGCAUUUAGCACCACAAUUAUCCCCCCAUUCACAGGGCUGCCUGCGCUAAUGUAAACCACACCAGGCACUAGCCGUCAUUCAACCGCAGUAAAAAAAGGCAAUGCAGAAACCCAUCCUCUGUGACAGCAAUUUGACGCAAUUCCGUCCCUGUGUCACCGUUGCUACAAAUAGGGGUCAACUCAUUUAUUAAGCAAUUUCUAGG